GCUCACGUAACUUAUUUUAAUUCAAAUCAAACAGAGAAAAUAGAUUGAAAGGCGGCCCUGCCUUUUCGGCAAUAUCUGGGGAGUAGUAAGGAAGCAGUUCGGGGACUUGCGGCAGGAACGAGCUUGCCUCUUUUGAUAUCCCUGAACUUGGAGGGAGAGUUGUGCAUUUGGAGGGUACACAGAGGAAAACUAUUGCACAUAAAAUGGAUUAGCUAUCUUUAAUUAAUAAUCAUUUCCAUCGAAUUCCCCUUAGAAGGUACUCCGAGUUUUGGAUUUCAUCUUUCGUAGAGCUCUUCCUGAAAUGCCGUUCAGCACCGCUGCCCCCUGGAUUGCCCAUGCCAGACACGCGCCACAUGUGCAUUUUACGAGCCAAGAAGAUGGAUGACGGAGAGGGGGCUCAGGAGCAAGGGUGACACAUUGUUGAUGUCUUGGGAAAAACCUGAUGUAUAUUGCUUCCCCCGCUGAAUGAUGAUUCCACCCAAGCCCAACCAGCGUUGCAACUAAUUUUACGUUUUUAUGACACUCCCGCUACGUGAUGCGACGGACCCUGGGAACAUGGGUUAAAUCAUAGACAGUCGCCGCGACUGAAUUCAAACACGUGUGGCCAAUAAAAAACUGAAUACGACUA